rnacentral:lncRNA from 1 species
GCUCUCCUGCAUCCAGCUAGCAAGCCUCCCACUGAGCCCUGCUUGAGAAGCCAUUCCUAGCAAGUCAGCCUGUAAAGCAGUUGGAUUGGAGAGAUUCUGAAACCGAUUACGUUAAAUAGUACACUUGACUCUACAUUUUAAUAGAUUAUUUUCCUUUUCAGUUCUUGGGCUUGUGCGAGUUUUUAGGGCAGAUGGACUUAAAACCUGCCUGACCGUGGAUCCCUCACCGGAAUCCCUGCAGUGCGCAUUGCAGGAGUGACCAGGACACUGCCUUCUAGAAGUAAUGCCCACAGAAAGCGGAAGUUGUUCAACUGCUCGCCAAGCAAAACAAAAGCGCAAAUCUCAUAGCCUUUCUAUACGAAGAACUAACAGCUCAGAACAAGAGAGGACUGGACUACCAAGAG